rnacentral:tRNA from 1 species
GGAGUGGAAGUUCGGCUGGUUAGGAUAUCAGCCUGUCACGCCGAGGGCGCGGGUUCGAGCUCCGUCCACUCUGCCA